GUAUGGGGAUCUGCCCGAUAGAGGGGGAUAACUACUGGAAACGGUGGCUAAUACCGCAUAAUGUCUACGGACCAGAGCAGGGGCUCUUCGGACCUUGCACUAUCGGAUGAACCCAUAUGGGAUUAGCUAGUAGGUGGGGUAAAGGCUCACCUAGGCGACGAUCUCUAGCUGGUCUGAGAGGAUGAUCAGCCACACUGGGACUGAGACACGGCCCAG
rnacentral:rRNA from 1 species